GUGAUACGUAGGAAGCCAGCGAUAUUCUGAUCUACUUGUUGUAUAGACGAGUAGACGGGCCUGUCAAGCUAGGGAGUGAAAUUCCUCGGGCGUGAUCUACCCGACACUGCUUUCUAUAAACUACUGGUCUGAGUGAUGGAAGAGGCAGGCGGGAAUUCCGUGUGUAGCGGUGAAAUGAGUAGAUAUUACGGAGGAGCACCCAGUCGCGAAGGCGGCCUGCUGGACACUAACUGACGCUGAGAAGCGAAAAGCGUGGGGAGCAAACACGAUUAGAUACCCUGGUAGUCCACGCCGUAAGCGAUGGAUACUAGGUGUGGGAGGUAUUGACCCCUUCCGUGCCGGAGUUAACACAAUAAGUAUCCCACCUGGGGAGUACGGCCGCAAGGUUGAAACUCAAAGGAAAUGACGGGGGCCCGCACAAGCAGUGGAGUAUGUGGUUUAUUUUGAAGCAACGCGAAGAACCUUACCAGGUCUUGACAUCCCUUUGACCGCCCUAGAAAUAAGGUUUCCCUUCGGGGCAGAGGUGACUGGUGGUGCAUGGUUGUCGUCAGCUCGUGUCGUGAGAUGUUGGGUAAAGUCCCGCAACGAGCGCAACCCUUACGGUUAGUUGAUACGCAAGGUCACUCUAGCCGGACUGCCGUUGACAAAACGGAGGAAGGUGGGGGGGACGUCAAAUCAUCAUGCCCCUUAUGACCUGGGGUACACACGUACUACAAUGGCAGUCAUACAGAGGGAAGCAAAGCAGUGAUGUGGAGCAAAUCCCUAAAAGCUGUCCCAGUUCAGAUUGCAGGCUGCAACCCGCCUGCAUGAAGUCGGAAUUGCUAGUAAUCGCGGAUCAGCAUGCCGCGGCGAAUACGUUCCCGGGCCUUGUACACACCGCCCGUCA
rnacentral:rRNA from 1 species